rnacentral:rRNA from 1 species
AACGAACGCUGGCGGCAUGCCUAACACAUGCAAGUCGAACGAUGCCUUCGGGCAUAGUGGCGCACGGGUGCGUAACGCGUGGGAAUCUGCCUUUCGGUUCGGAAUAACUCAGGGAAACUUGAGCUAAUACCGGAUAACGUCGCAAGACCAAAGAUUUAUCACCGAAAGAUGAGCCCGCGUAGGAUUAGCUAGUUGGUGAGGUAAAGGCUCACCAAGGCGACGAUCCUUAGCUGGUCUGAGAGGAUGAUCAGCCACACUGGGACUGAGACACGGCCCAGACUCCUACGGGAGGCAGCAGUGGGGAAUAUUGGACAAUGGGCGAAAGCCUGAUCCAGCAAUGCCACGUGAGUGAUGAAGGCCUUAGGGUUGUAAAGCUCUUUUACCCGGGAAGAUAAUGACGGUACCGGGAGAAUAAGCCCCGGCUAACUCCGUG